AUGCACGCUGGCGGCGUGCCUAAUACAUGCAAGUCGAGCGAACGGACGAGAAGCUUGCUUCUCUGAUGUUAGCGGCGGACGGGUGAGUAACACGUGGAUAACCUACCUAUAAGACUGGGAUAACUUCGGGAAACCGGAGCUAAUACCGGAUAAUAUUUUGAACCGCAUGGUUCAAAAGUGAAGGACGGUCUUGCUGUCACUUAUAGAUGGAUCCGCGCUGCAUUAGCUAGUUGGUAAGGUAACGGCUUACCAAGGCAACGAUGCAUAGCCGACCUGAGAGGGUGAUCGGCCACACUGGAACUGAGACACGGUCCAGACUCCUACGGGAGGCAGCAGUAGGGAAUCUUCCGCAAUGGGCGAAAGCCUGACGGAGCAACGCCGCGUGAGUGAUGAAGGUCUUCGGAUCGUAAAACUCUGUUAUUAGGGAAGAACAUAUGUGUAAGUAACUGUGCACAUCUUGACGGUACCUAAUCAGAAAGCCACGGCUAACUACGUG
rnacentral:rRNA from 1 species